rnacentral:rRNA from 1 species
UACGUAGGGUGCAAGCGGUAAUCGGAAUUACUGGGCGUAAAGCGUACGCAGGCGGCUAUGUAAGCCAGGUGUGAAAUCCCCGGGCCUAACCUGGGAACUGCAUUUGUGACUGCAUAGCUAGAGUCCGUCAGAGGGGGGUGGAAUUCCACGUGUAGCAGUGAAAUGCGUAGAGAUGUGGAGGAACACCGAUGGCGAAGGCAGCCCCCUGGGAUGAGACUGACGCUCAUGUACGAAAGCGUGGGGAGCAAACAGG